ACACUUAGUAGAUCUAGGAUGUAAAAACAAAUUAUAUGGGCCCAUGGGAUGGAGGGCCCAAGAUCAUAUUCAUGAAGGGGAUGGAAUCCAAUUCAACUCAAACUAACAUGUUUCAGAAAGAUAAAUUCACCUUCAAGCACUAGUGGCCGGAAUCUUCCACCUCAAUCGCGUCGGAAUUGCCUCCGGUAGCGGCGGAGAGCCAAUCACCAUAAAUCAUACACCAAAACCCUCGUCUCAGUCCGUUCUACAAGAAUCCGACAUCAGUUUAACCUAGUUCUAACCAAAAUCCCUAAAUCAAGCUAAAUAGUUCAUGAACCCUAAUCUAAAGAACUUAAAUUAAAUCACUCUCAAGGGGAACCAAAGUCCAAAUGGUUAGGGCUUUGAUUCCCUUAACCUUGUCCUACAUGUUGGUGAAUAAAAUGAAGUGAGAUAGAUCAAGAAUCGGACCUACCUACCAGAGAAGACAAUGCUAACAAUGAAGACGACAAAGAAGUCUAAGGUCUUGGACUGAUGUAGAUUGGUUUGUGAGUUGUAUCUAAGAUGACUUUCAUUUGAGAAUCCUUGGCUUAUGGGCAAAUUCCAAACAUGAGGAGCUUUGAAGAUUCCAACCAAAAGAUGAUUUGUGGACAAGUAAAAAUAUGGAUUAAGGGUUAGGAUAGUCACCCAUAGGUGAGUUGACUUUGGUUAGCUGGUUGACCAAAAAGUCAACAGUUGACCAAAAGUCAACUAAAAAAAUGUCUUUUUUAUAUGGUUUGAUUUUAUGUAAGAACAUGGUGAUGUGUUUGAUGAAAUGACAAUUUGUAAUGCAAUAACUUUGAUAAUGCAAUGAAUUAUUUUUAUUUUGAAAUGAAAA